rnacentral:rRNA from 1 species
CCCUGCGGCGUGACUUCGCCUGCAUGUCGUACGCAAAGUCCCUUCGGGGUGGCGAGUAGAGUGGCGAACUGGUAUCAUGUGAAUAACGUGCCUCAAAGUGGGGGAUAACUCCGCGAAAGCGGAGCUAAUACCUGCAUGGUCUUUCUUAUUUAUAUGUGUGAGAAAGUAAAGCAGCGAUGCGCUUUGAGAUCGGUUCACCUCCCAUUAGCUUGUUGGUGGGGUAACGGCCCACCAAUGCCGCGAUGGGUAGCUGGUCUGAGAGGAUGGUCAGCCACACUGGGACUGAGAUACGGCCCAGACUCCUACGGGGGGCAGCAGUCUAGAGGCUUUGACAAUGCCCGAAAGGGUGAUCAAGCGACGCCGCGGUGCGGGAUGAAGGGCUUCGGCUUGUAAACCGCUUUUGUUUGGGACGAAGGCCCUGCUCGUGAAGCAGGCAUUGACGGUACCAGACGAAUAAGCCCCUGGCUAACUCCGUGCCCAGCAGCCGCGGUAAGACGGAGGGGGCGAGCGUUGUCCGGAAUUAUUGGGCGUAAAGGGCUCGUAAGCGGAUCCGCCAGUCUGACGUGAAAUCUCCACCGCUCACCGGGGAGGGGCCGUUGGAUACUACGGAUCUGGAGUUCGGCAGAGGACCAUGGAAUUUCGGGUGUAGC